UACGUAGGGUGCGAGCGUUGUCCGGAAUUAUUGGGCGUAAAGAGCUUGUAGGCGGUUUGUCGCGUCUGCUGUGAAAAUCCGGGGCUCAACCCCGGACUUGCAGUGGGUACGGGCAGACUAGAGUGUGGUAGGGGAGACUGGAAUUCCUGGUGUAGCGGUGGAAAUGCGCAGAUAUCAGGAGGAACACCGAUGGCGAAGGCAGGUCUCUGGGCCACUACUGACGCUGAGAAGCGAAAGCAUGGGGAGCGAACAGG
rnacentral:rRNA from 1 species